UUUCGCCUUUGGAGUGUUACCCAUCAUAAGAGUCCGUAGAUAGUCUGGAUAUCCCGGAAUCGAUGGACUAGAUCGUCAAUCGACGGUUAACGCGUAGAAGAGGCGACUGGAAGCGCUAAUCAAAAGUUGUGCUUUCGCCCCGGCCAGUACUGUGUUUGCUUGCUAAUCAAUUGGCAGUAUCUCCGAAGCCGGAGAAAAUUAUACACCUAUAGCCGAUUGGAUAAACCGAGGGAAUCCCAGGUUUCUGUCCUCGAACCGCGGCCAUGGUGGCUGACUUCCCCCGACAAAUUUCGAUCAUGUAAAACCACAAGAAUGCAUGCGUUUAAUUAUAAAAAUUAAAAUCUGUUUUAUUAAGAAAAUGAAAAUAACAAUGCAUUUUUCCUGCUUGAAAUUAUUCCUAUUCAUAUUUCAAAUCUACGAUUUUCUGCAUUCAGGGGGAAUAGCAGAUAUGGCUAAACAGCCAUCCUAUUGGACUUUAAGUAUUGCUAAUUGCUAGUUUAGCCAUAGCCAUUUUCGUGGCAUCGCAUAAUCUGAUGGUUGGUUUGAUCGAAUUUUCGGGUUCAAUUUCAACAUAGUUUUCCAACACAGUUUUGUUGGAAUUACGCUGAAUAAAGCUUUUGC